GACGAACGCUGGCGGCGUGCUUAACACAUGCAAGUCGUACGGUGAAGCGCCUUCCUUUUUGGUGGGUGUGGAUGAGUGGCGAACGGGUGAGUAACACGUGAGUAACCUGCCCCCUUCUUCUGGAUAACCGCAUGAAAGUGUGGCUAAUACGGGAUAUUCUGGGUCUGUCGCAUGAUGGGUCUGGGAAAGAUAUUGUUUCGGUGGGGGAUGGGCUCGCGGCCUAUCAGCUUGUUGGUGGGGUGAUGGCCUACCAAGGCGGUGACGGGUAGCCGGCCUGAGAGGGUGGACGGUCGCACUGGGACGGAGACACGGCCCAGACUCCUACGGGAGGCAGCAGUGGGGAAUAUUGCACAAUGGGCGCAAGCCUGAUGCAGCGACGCCGCGUGAGGGAUGGAGGCCUUCGGGUUGUGAACCUCUUUCGCCAGUGAAGCAGGCCUGCCUCGUUUGUGGGUGGGUUGACGGUAGCUGGAUAAGAAGCGCCGGCUAACUACGUG
rnacentral:rRNA from 1 species